rnacentral:rRNA from 1 species
AAUGAACGCUGGCGGCGUGCCUAAUACAUGCAAGUCGAGCGAACAGACGAGGAGUUUGCUCCUUUGACGUUAGCGGCGGACGGGUGAGUAACACGUGGGUAGACUACCUAUAAGACUGGGAUAACUACGGGAAACCGGAGCUAAUACCGGAUAAUAUUUCGAACCGCGUUGUUCGAUAGUGAAAGAUGGCUUUGCUUUCAGUUAUAGAUUGACAUGCGUCUUAUUAGCUAGUUGGUAAGGUAACGGCUUACCAAGGCAACGAUACGUAGGCGACCUGAGAGGGUGAUUGGCCACACUGGAACUGAGAAUGGGUCCAGACUCCGACGGGAGGCAGCAGUAGGGACUCUUCCGCAAUGGGGGAAAGCCUGACGGAGCAAAGCCGCGUCAGUGAUGAAGGUCUCCGGAUCGUAAAGCUAUGUUAGCAGGGAAGAACAAACGUGUAAGUAACUGUGCACGUCUUGACGGUACCUAAUCAGAAAGCCACGGCUAACUACGUG